AGAGUUUGAUUCUGGCUCAGAACGAACGUUGGCGGCGUGGAUUAGGCAUGCAAGUCGAACGAGAAUCUGUGUGUUCAAUCCUUCGGGAGAGAACAUGCAGAGGAGAGUGGCGAAAGGGUGAGGAACGCGUGGGUAAUCUGCCUUCAAGUUGGGGAUAACUCUUCGAAAGAGGGGCUAAUACCGAAUGUGGUCGCCCGACGCAUGUCGGGAUGAUUAAAGGUGGGGAUCUUUUUUGGACCUGCCGCUUGUCGAGGAACCCGCGCCCCAUCAGCUUGUUGGUGAGGUAACGGCUCACCAAGGCUUACGGGUAGCUGGUCUGAGAGGAUGGUCAGCCACACUGGGACUGAGACACUGCCCAGACUCCUACGGGAGGCUGCAGUCGAGGAUCAUUCGCAAUGCGCGAAAGCGUGACGAUGCGACGCCGCGUGGAGGAUGAAGGCCUUCGGGUUGUAAACUCCUGUCAUUGGGGGGCAAGCGCGGGGGUGUUAACACCACCCUUGUUUGAUAGUACCCAAAGAGGAAGUCACGGCUAACUCUGUGCCAGCAGCCGCGGUAAUACAGAGGUGGCGAACGUUGUUCGGAUUUACUGGGCGUAAAGGGUGCGCAGGUGGUUUCGUGUGUCGGAUGUGAAAGCCUACUGCUUAACGGUAGAACUGCAUUCGAAACUGCGGGACUAGAGUACCGGAGAGGAGAGCGGAAUUCUCGGUGUAGCGGUGAAAUGCGCAGAUAUCGAGAAGAACACCGGUGGCGAAGGCGGCUCUCUAGACGGAUACUGACACUGAGGCACGAAAGCUGGGGGAGCAAACAGGAUUAGAUACCCUGGUAGUCCCAGCUGUAAACGGUGUCCACUUGGUGUGGGGGGAGUUGACCCCCCCCGUGCUGGAGCUAACGCGUUAAGUGGACCGCCUGGGGAGUACGGCCGCAAGGCUAAAACUCAAAGAAAUUGACGGGGGCCCGCACAAGCGGAGGAGCAUGUGGCUUAAUUCGAUGCAACGCGAAGAACCUUACCAGGGCUUGACAUGCAGCUGCAAGUCCGCCGGAAGGUGGACCGCCUUCGAGGGUGCUGCACAGGUGCUGCAUGGCUGUCGUCAGUUCGUGCCGUGAGGUGUUGGGUUAAGUCCCGCAACGAACGCAACCCCUGUGUCUAGUUGCGACCGCAGGUGAUGAGCCGGCGAGCACUCUAGACAGACUGCCUGUGAUAAGCAGGAGGAAGGUGGGGACGACGUCAAGUCCGUAUGGCCUUUAUGCCCUGGGCUGCACACGUGCUACAAUGGUCGGUACAGAAGGAUGCAAAACCGCAAGGUAGAGCAAAUCCCUAAAGCCGACCUCAGUUCGGAUUGGAGUCUGCAACUCGACUCCAUGAAGUCGGAUUCGCUAGUAACGGCGCAUCAGCUACGGCGCCGUGAAUACGUUCCCGGGCCUUGUACACACCGCCCGUCACAUCAUGAAAGCCGUCUGCUCCCGAAGUCGCUGAUCCAACCCUUUCCGGGAGGAAGGUGCCGAAGGUGUGGGUGGUGAUUGGGAUGAAGUCGUAACAAGGU
rnacentral:rRNA from 1 species